rnacentral:lncRNA from 1 species
AGUAGAAAACCCCAGGCAGAGCUGAAGACAGUGACAGAAGGGAUUAUUGCUUCUGAAGAAGAAAAAAAAUGAUUACAAAAUCACCUAUUUUACCGUCUUUUACAACUUCGUUGUAGGAGGUGUGAAAGAGGAGGGAAAUUGUGUUGUUUGAUGGAGAGACUCAAAUUAACAAAGAACUGUGGAAUAUUUCUAGCCAAAAGCCACUGGGGAACUGAUUCCUGCCAACAACCACUGAACUUCGAAGUAGAUCCAUCAGCAACUGGACCCUCAGAUGCGACCCAUGUAUGACACCUUGAUUGGGAUCCUGUGAGAGACCCUCAGGCAGAGCACCUAGUUAAGUCAAACUCAGAUCGCUGACUCCCAGAAACUGUAAGAUUGUGAUAAAUGUUUUGGAGGAAAAUAGAAAGAAGGCUGUGGUUUGAAACGUCUCAACAAACUUCCAAUCAUGCAAAACUUGAGGGAACGAGGAACAGCAAAGCUUGGCACUUUGGAAGCUUGAUAACAUCACAGCAUGGAAGAAAAGUGGAAGGAAGUUAUCACAAAGGAAUAACAAACAACGUGCUCUCCUUAAGCCAUCCUGACUACUCUAACAUCCUGCUUCCACUAAAAAUACUGACGGCCAAAUUCACAAAUAAGAGACAAGAUGGAAACUGAUUGAUUUCAC